rnacentral:misc_RNA from 1 species
UCACCGUGUCAAGCUUGGCUUGUUGUUGGGCCCUUUGUCACUGGGUGACAGGUCCAAAAGAUAAUGACUGGUGUCAUGCCGACGCUAUAUGCAACGAGCUUAUCACAGCACGCAUCUGGCGGUCGUGUGGCCCGGUCCUCCCCCCUUUAUCUCUAA